GAGUAACGCUUCGGAAUCUGCCCAAUGGUGGGGAAUAACCAGCCGAAAGGUUGGCUAAUACCGCAUGAGCCCUUCGGGGGAAAGCGGGGGAUCGCAAGACCUCGCGCCGAUGGAUGAGCCGAAGCCGGAUUAGCUAGUUGGUAGGGUAACGGCCUACCAAGGCGACGAUCCGUAGCUGGUCUGAGAGGACGACCAGCCACACUGGGACUGAGACACGGCCCAGACUCCUACGGGAGGCAGCAGUGGGGAAUAUUGGACAAUGGGGGAAACCCUGAUCCAGCGACGCCGCGUGUGUGAAGAAGGCCUGCGGGUUGUAAAGCACUUUUAGUGGGGAUGAAAAGCUCAGGGCUAACACCUCUGGGUCUUGACCUAACCCACAGAAAAAGCACCGGCUAACUCUGUGCCAGCAGCCGCGGUAAUACAGAGGGUGCAAGCGUUAAUCGGAAUUACUGGGCGUAAAGCGUACGUAGACGGUUGGAUAAGUCGGAUGUGAAAGCCCCGGGCUCAACCUGGGAAUGGCAUUCGAGACUGUUCAGCUAGGGUGCGGAAGAGGGAAGCGGAAUUUCCGGUGUAGCGGUGAAAUGCGUAGAUAUCGGAAGGAACACCAGUGGCGAAAGCGGCUUCCUGGUCCAGCACCGACGUUCAGGUACGAAAGCAUGGGGAGCAAACAGGAUUAGAUACCCUGGUAGUCCAUGCCAUAAACGAUGA
rnacentral:rRNA from 1 species